rnacentral:rRNA from 1 species
AUUGAACGCUGGCGGCAUGCCUUACACAUGCAAGUCGAACGGUAACAGGUCUUCGGAUGCUGACGAGUGGCGAACGGGUGAGUAAUACAUCGGAACGUGCCUAGUAGUGGGGGAUAACUACUCGAAAGAGUGGCUAAUACCGCAUGAGCUCUACGGAUGAAAGCAGGGUAUCGCAAGACCUUGUGCUCCUAGAGCGGCCGGUGGCAGAUUCGGUAGUUGGUGGGAUAAAAGCUAACAAAGCCGACGAUCUGUAGCUGGUCAGAGAGGACGAUCAGCCACACGGAGACUGAGACACGGCCCAGACUCCUACGGGAGGCAGCAGUGGGGAAUUUUGGACAAUGGGCGAAAGCCUGAUCCAGCAAUGCCGCGUGCAGGAUGAAGGCCUUCGGGUUGUAAACUGCUUUUGUACGGAACGAAAAGCCCCGGGUUAAUACCCUGGGGUCAUGACGGUACCGUAAGAAUAAGCACCGGCUAACUACGUGCCAGCCGCCGCCGUAA